CUGGGACACAAAUACCUUUUACCCUUGCUGCUUAUAAGGCUGAAGUUGGCAAGUCAUAUCAAAGGAUUACUGUUUUCAUCUGCUUGAAAAGGGACUUUGAAGAAGUUGGAAAUUUGUCAGACUUGUCUGACUCUGACCCAGAGAUUGUUAUUAAAAAAUCCUCAGAGUUUGAUCUUGCUGAUACACUGCCAUGGGAACCUCUGGAUGAAAGCAGUCCUUUACAAAAAGUGGCUGAAACAGAGCGAUCACACGACUUAACCUAAAUAGGAGACAAUGAAUUUCACCUGCUGCAGAUUACUGUUUUGGUUCUGCGUUGGUUGUGUUCCAGCACUUUCUUGUCACCAAUUCAGUCAGUGUGAAGUUGUCGGAUGUUGUCAACGCAGGAAAGGGCAUACAAUACUGUCUUCACUACAUUUGCCAGGUCAUCAUAAAGCUCCCACACAUAGAGCUCUUCGGCAGUGUAAUGUCCCAGACCAUCUUUAGUCAAGCUUCCCUUGAAAGCGAUGACUCACUCUCAAGGUGAAUGUCUUUCCUUGGAGAGCCACAAUGGAGGGAAAUUCACUCAAAGGAAAUUGAGUUGUGUUUGCAAGGUCAAUGUCAACCCAUGCUAUUUCUCCAAUGCUGUAGCUUGGGCGAAGGCAGGGAGACUCCGGAAGGAAGAGUCCGUUUUCCACUGAAGUGUCAAGCUGAGCCAUGCCAGAGUUCAUCAGGACAGAAAUGUCAGGAGAAACAAAUGGUACUUCCCUUGUAAGAUGGGGUUGUCACUGUCGUUCCUGACAACAUUUUGAAAUGCUGAGCUGAAAGCACAGC